rnacentral:rRNA from 1 species
UGCCUAAUACAUGCAAGUCGAGCGAACGGACGAGAAGCUUGCUUCUCUGAUGUUAGCGGCGGACGGGUGAGUAACACGUGGAUAACCUACCUAUAAGACUGGGAUAACUUCGGGAAACCGGAGCUAAUACCGGAUGAUACUUUGAACCGCAUGGUUCAAAAGUGAAAGACGGUCUUGCUGUCACUUAUAGAUGGAUCCGCGCUGCAUUAGCUAGUUGGUAAGGUAACGGCUUACCAAGGCAACGAUGCAUAGCCGACCUGAGAGGGUGAUCGGCCACACUGGAACUGAGACACGGUCCAGACUCCUACGGGAGGCAGCAGUAGGGAAUCUUCCGCAAUGGGCGAAAGCCUGACGGAGCAACGCCGCGUGAGUGAUGAAGGUCUUCGGAUCGUAAAACUCUGUUAUUAGGGAAGAACAUAUGUGUAAGUAACUGUGCACAUCUUGACGGUACCUAAUCAGAAAGCCACGGCUAACUACGUGCCAGCAGCCGCGGUAAUACGUAGGUGGCAAGCGUUAUCCGGAAUUAUUGGGCGUAAAGCGCGCGUAGGCGGUUUUUUAAGUCUGAUGUGAAAGCCCACGGCUCAACCGUGGAGGGUCAUUGGAAACUGGAAAACUUGAGUGCAGAAGAGGAAAGUGGAAUUCCAUGUGUAGCGGUGAAAUGCGCAGAGAUAUGGAGGAACACCAGUGGCGAAG